ACGCUUCGACUAAGGUUCGAUUCGAGCGUCAGCGAGAAAGCGUUGCCGCAGGCAACGACCCGAAGGGCGAAGCGCGCAGCGCUGAGUCAUCCUUCCCCCACCACCA
rnacentral:sRNA from 1 species